rfam:TPA: Bos taurus chromosome 8, whole genome shotgun sequence.
UGGCUCAGAUGGUAAAGCGUCUGCCUACAAUGCUGGAGACCCAGGUUCAAUCCCUGG